UCAAACCUAAAAAUGAAAACGUGAACACAAUUAUAAAAGUUAGACAAUACAACUACUAAAUAUUGAUUAUAAUCAGAAAGCAGUGAAUGAGAACAGUGCAGAACUGACCGAUUAUUGGCUCUGUUCGAGUGGGGCUUGUGAGGUAAGACCAUAAAUGUGGUGAACUUCGAGCAGGAUCAUCAGAAUCUGGCAAAAUCAUAGUUUUAUUUAACAACAAAAUCAACAAUUAUAUGUGCAAUUAAGCAAGUUUUAAAAAAAAUUUACAUACACAGAGUUACCAGUUUAUUAUAUACAUCCAUUUACACACCAGUUUAUUAUGUAGAUCUGUCCACCUUCAAACAAACAUCAGCAUGUCAUGUGUAAUAUAACAGGCAUGUGCAAUAAUAACAAUAAUUACAGAGAGCAGGGAUCAGCUGGCCACAAUAUCAGGUUUUUUAUUAAUCCGAGUAGGUCAGAAAGCAAAAAUACCAAUCAAAAAUAAACAACUAAAUGUUAGAUUACGAUUUUAUGUUAAUUUUAAAGCAGAAUGUUUAAUAGCCUGAAUAAUGUCAAGGCUGAAUUAUACUUUAUUUUUUUAAAUACUAAAUGUCUGCCACAUUUAUUCUGUGGUUUAGAGCAUCGCUUUUACAUGCCCUCAGAGAAGGAGAUUAUGGCACCCAGACAUGCUCAGGUAUGCAGAAGGAAACAUAGCACUUUUCUCAGAGUGAGCAGAAAUUAAAAAAAGAAAAAUGUGAUUAUCUGGCUUCUUGUGUUUUGGAGGACAUGCGUCAGCCUUCAUAGGCCCUGCUUGGUAUCUGUUAUGAUAGGGAGAGCUGUCUGGUGAGUGCAAAUUGGUAGUGCUGUAACGACUCAUUCAUUUUCUCAAUGCAUCGAUUAAUAAUCCUGGCGAUGCAUAUGCAUUGAUCUUGAAACAUGGAGUUUUGAAUCGUGAAUCGUAUGUCAUGUCGGUACACAAACUCCCGCGAAGUUCUGCUUAAAAGGUAAGAAAUCUCUCUGUCAAUAGCAAAAGUAUUGCAAAUGCACUGCAAUCUUUAUUAUUAAGACUUCAUUGCUGCUUGUAUUAAAAUGUUUAAUAGCACAACAUUAUUCAUAAUUUUAAUUUUUACUUGGUAACCACUAAUAAUAUUUUUCUGUUUAUUUCCUAGCAUCUGCACUGGACCCCCGCUUCAAAGGGCUACCCUUUCUAGAAAAUGAGGAAAGAGAAAUGAUCUUCAUUAAACUCACUGUUGAGGCCUUAAACAGCAUUCACAUGGAACAGCAGGAAGAUGCCAUUGAAGAGAAACCACCAAACACAACUGAAGAAGAUGAGAUGCAUCCUGCAAAAAAAAAAUGAAAGCCAUGGAUUUGCUCUCAGGUGGCAGAGACCUGUCCCCUAUCAAGGUCUGCUAGUGAGAUUAGCAGAGACGAGGUACUCAAAUACAGAUCCAUGGCUCCUCUGGCACUGACUGAAAGUGCACUGGACUGGUGGAAGUCCCAUGAGACAGAACUACCAAUCCUUACAAAGCCGGCAAGAAGUUAUCUUUGCAUUCCUGCUACCAGUGUGGCUUCAGAAAGAGUUAUAGUAUCUUCUCAGAGAAGCAGUUUACGGCCAGAUUUUGUUGAUCAGUUAAUAUUUUUGAAAAAAAAUCUCAAGUAAAUAGUGUUGAAAAGGCAUGUCAUAGCCAUUUGUUUGUUCUACUCUCUUGCUGCAGUAACUACCAAGUUUUAAUUGCACUAUGUGUGAUAUUACUGCCAGUUGCACUUGCACUUUGUUGUAUUUCUGCACUUUGCAAUAUUCCCUAAAUGGUCUGGAUGCAAUGUUUACAAUAAAAAAACUUUUGGUGCAUUGAAUAUAUUAAGUCCUAUGAAGCUAUAGUUCUGGAUCAGGUUGCUAGGCUUAGGUCAUAAAUUUCCCAAAAAUGGAAUUUAUU